rnacentral:rRNA from 1 species
AGCGGCGGAUGGGUGCGUAACACGUGGGGAACCUGCCCCUAAGUCUGGGAUACCAUUUGGAAACAGGUGCUAAUACCGGAUAAUAAAGCAGAUCGCAUGAUCAGCUUUUGAAAGGCGGCGUAAGCUGUCGCUAAGGGAUGGCCCCGCGGUGCAUUAGCUAGUUGGUAAGGUAACGGCUUACCAAGGCGACGAUGCAUAGCCGAGUUGAGAGACUGAUCGGCCACAUUGGGACUGAGACACGGCCCAAACUCCUACGGGAGGCAGCAGUAGGGAAUCUUCCACAAUGGACGCAAGUCUGAUGGAGCAACGCCGCGUGAGUGAAGAAGGUUUUCGGAUCGUAAAGCUCUGUUGUUGGUGAAGAAGGAUAGAGGUAGUAACUGGCCUUUAUUUGGCGGUAAUCAACCAGAAAGUCACGGCUAACUACGUGCCAGCAGCCGCGGUAAUACGUAGGUGGCAAGCGUUGUCCGGAUUUAUUGGGCGUAAAGCGAGCGCAGGCGGAAAAAUAAGUCUAAUGUGAAAGCCCUCGGCUUAACCGAGGAACUGCAUCGGAAACUGUUUUUCUUGAGUGCAGAAGAGGAGAGUGGAACUCCAUGUGUAGCGGUGGAAUGCGUAGAUAUAUGGAAGAACACCAGUGGCGAAGGCGGCUCUCUGGUCUGCAACUGACGCUGAGGCUCGAAAGCAUGGGUAGCGAACAGGAUUAGAUACCCUGGUAGUCCAUGCCGUAAACGAUGAGUGCUAAGUGU